GGGCCGGGAAGAAAAGAAAGUCACCCAGGACUACAAUUCCCACAAUGCACUUCAUGGGCUUCUCUCGACGUGUGCUCUUGGAAAACGUAGUACAUUGUGGGGCAAGAUUUAAAAAUGCAGGAGGGAGGUGGGAGGGCCAAAGUCAGAGAGAGAAGAGGAGAUGCUAUUUCUGAAAGAGGACCAUGAACCAAAGGAUGCAGAUAGACUCUAGAAGCUAGAAACAGCAAAGAAUGGAUUAUCCCUGGAGCCUCUGGAAGGAACACAGCCCUGCCAACUUCAUGAUUUUGGCCUUGGAAGGUCCUUUUUUGGACUUCUGACAUUCAGAACUGUCCAUAAAGACAGAGAUGAGAAAGCAACAUACAUUCAGGAUAUAGACUUGGUCCAAGGAGCAGAAAGAUACUCAGG